rnacentral:tRNA from 1 species
GGCCUGAUGGUCUAGUGGUAUGAUUCUCGCUUAGGGUGCGAGAGGUCCCGGGUUCAAUUCCCGGUCAGGCCC